CCGCUUUCUGCCUUUAAUUCUUAUUCUUACAACCCCCCUCUGCCGCUAGGAGAAACCGAUUAUUCUCAGACCAAAAUGGACGCUCUGGACUCUGUUUUCGAUCCCCUUAGAGAUUUCGCCAAAGACAGCGUUAGGCUUGUUAAGAGGUGCCACAAGCCCGAUCGCAAAGAAUUCACCAAAGUUGCGACUCGUACUGCAAUCGGUUUCGUAGUGAUGGGAUUUGUAGGAUUUUUUGUCAAGUUGAUUUUCAUUCCUAUUAACAACAUCAUCGUUGGUGCUUCUUAACCGGUAACUCCUACUCUUAUGUGGAUCUGCUGAUACAUCUCGUAAAUUUCGCUACAUCUGUUGAGGAAUUACAGGCUUUGAUGUUAAUUAAGGCCAUGUAAAGGAGAAACCAAAUGGAGAAAUAGCAAGGAAGCAACACAUGAAGUCCUCCCAAUUUAGUUUAAUUUUGUAUCCUGUAGCUGUUGGACAUCUCUGACGUCUUAUUCUGAACCUCCUUAUUGGUCUGAGUUAACAGCAUUCAAAUUGCCUUUCUCACUUCCCACCCUCUCCCUGCACCCCUCAUGUUGAAAUUUUGAACACUUCCUUUCAGGUCAAAGCACUUAUUUCUUGGCUAUACUUUUCUGGUGCGUUUAGUACAGAGUUAAAUUUUUUCUAUGAACAAUGUUUUCAUGAAAGAUGUUUUAUUAUGAAGAAUAAUUUAGAAUGAA